UCUGAGAGUCUUCUCCGUCGCUCAUCACAGAGAGGGAACCGUCAAGGCACUGAGUGUCAGGGAAGAGGAGGAGCAGACAGGGGAGUCUCUGCAUUGCCUUUGGCUGGAGAACCGAGGUCAUAGGAAAAAGAAUUCGUGACAACAAAUCUCUGAAGUUGCUCCUGUCUCAGAAGGUUAUAUGUUACCAUUGUGAAAGGAUAAAUUCAUCCCUGUGGUUGGUAUUUAUGGGAAUGCAAGGUGACAGGGAGCCAACCUUGCCCUUUGGGGCCUUUAUGCCAAACAAGCCUACAUUGUCUGCAUCAAAAGGACAGAAGAUUACAGAAUAAAAACAUAGAAAAAGGAGAAAAAGGAAGAAGUAAAUGGGUGCAAAAAUAAACUUCUUUUUACUCCCUCUGACUCUGUAUGGACUUGCUAUGUGUUGGGAAGUAUCUACUUAGAAAUGCCAACUAUUUUUAGAAAAGCCUGAUAAAUCAUCACAUUCUCGAAAUCACUACUUACCAGGGAAGAUGGCAUAACAGUUGCAUUCGAUUUUCCUCGGUCUGGGGAGGAAGAGACGGUGUCUGGAAACUAAGAAGAAUCUUCAUAUAUAUUGAUUGGGCAAUAAACAAAUAG